GUUGAGAAGACAUAGGUGCUAAAGGAGUGUUAGGACCUGCCCCAUUCUUUUUUUUUUUUUUUUUUUUUUUUGGCUCUUUUCAGUUUAUUACAUGAAGGAGUUACACUAGUCCAAGUUAAAAGCAGACCCCCAAAUGGUUACAUUAUACAAGCUGUGAGGUUUUUAAACUUGUGACAAGGGACAGAAGGGAACUUCUACUCAUUGCAAGGAAAUCCUCACUUAAGCUUCAGUGAGCCAAAAGCACUUAAAACCCAUGAACUUUCAGCUGGUCGUCCUUAGCCAGUCCAAUCUCUACAAGGAACUGGCAUAUGUUCUUGCACUGGUCACCCUGUAGCUGAAUCACUUCUCCA